rfam:Streptomyces toyocaensis strain NRRL 15009 contig00008, whole genome shotgun sequence.
AACGACCGGUCGGACCCGUAUGCCUCGCGGCUAGCGAGCCCGGCCCACAAGUGGAGGCUUCGAACUCCCACCUGGCCGUCCUCAGGGCGGCGGGUCACCGGUCAGGCGGUCCCGUCCCCGAGACGGUGGUCCGCCCGAAAUCGCGCCCCGCGGUCGUCGCGGCGGUGCUCCGGUAGUUCGAGGAGCCCCGCCUGUGAUCGUCCGGGGCGUUUUCU